CUCAUGCGCCGCUAGACCAAUCAUGACCCGUAUUUGGUCUUAGCCCCGCCUUCAAUGAGCGGAUUUGACCAAUCAGGGUAGUUCUUCCAGCAAGAGACUGACAGGCUUAUACCCUGUCCAGGAUCUCUUUAAUGCACCAGCAACAGAGCAGAAAAUAAAGGCACUCCUUCACCGACUGGAUGAACCCAUAUGCAAAGCUUCCUCCCAGGACGUUUUUGCCUUGUCCCAAACCUGAGGUCAUAUCCCGCAAGCGCUGCCCCAGAGAUGAAGAGGGCAUGGCCUGGGGAAGAGGACGCUGGGGGUGCAUGGCUCAAGAAGGCAGACAAAAGGGAAGCUGCAGGGCCGCCACUCGGAGGAAAUGUAAGAUGAGCCUGACAAAUAAGAUCGGUGAGCAACAGCUGAGAUCUGCUUCAUGUCACGACCACCUUUGUUUCCUCUAUUUAUAACCUUCUGCACAAAGUGCUGGCUGCUUCCAUUCAAAGGCAGAGUUUUCUAUGCUCUUUGAUUGGACGGCACAGUGAUACAGUGUGCACAAAGAGGCGCUCCAUGUCGGUCUUUGUUUAUGUAACAGGUGGUCAGACUUUCUAGUACCGCCUCCUUUGUUCCUACACCUCAUUUUCAGUUCACUUCUGUGAAACAUCAUAAUUAGUCAGUGCAAGGUGGAAACAUCAAAACACAAACUCUCAAAGAGGUGAAUGAUAUACAUUUAUAUUUAUAUACGGAUUCUACAUUUUCAGAUACAGGUGUAAACAAACGCGUUUCCCUAAAAAGAAAACAAAACAUUUCAAAAACAGAAAAAUAUAAAGUAAAAAUCAAUAUCUGUGCACGCUAAAAGAACCUUUGGCUUCAAAAAAACAUAAGGAAAAACAACAAAAAUUACAACAGAGUUCAAAAAAACACAAUCGACAUCACCAAACAAACCACAAAUUUCAGAAAAAGGAUUUUGUCAUGCAACAAAGGCAACCGUGAUAAACAAAGUGAACGCAGGACCGGUUCAUUAUAAUACAGAAGUGAGUGUGUUCCAGCACAACAGGCACACGCAGUAAUGACAACUUUUCUCUGGCUUUCCUAUUUUUAAAGUCUCUAAAAGUCUGGCGGACCCAGCUGUCCCUCUGGCAUGUGUGCACAUGCGUGUUUGACUCCGCACAUGCACAUUUCUGAGGCUGACUUCUGACAGGUGGGGGGGCGGGUUUAUAGGCAACAAAGCUCCCUUCUCGUGUCUCAAGGUUUUGGCUUGGAAUUGUCCUCGACGUGAGCUACCUUAACGCUGUCUUUGUUUUACGCAACAAUGGAAACAAUCAUACAGUCCAAAAGCCGAGCAGUUAAAACAUGAACAGUAUUUACAGGUGAUCAGGAAAUCGCCCUCCCCACCGGUGACAUCAAGUAUCUGUGACUUAAAACUCAACGCUGGAAAGUGCGUCCCAGGAGAUUGUCAUCACUGGGAACGUUUGCUGUUUGUCGGGAGUGUAAUCCUUAGCGAAGCAGUUGACUUCGUUUCUAUUAAGUACAUAAGGUGACUGCAUUGAAGUGACAUGACUGCAUUGAAGAAACAAGGCACGAUUAAAAAGAUAUUUAAAAAAAAA